rnacentral:piRNA from 1 species
UUUUGUAUUGGAAGGGCUCGUCG